GUAUGUGAUACUUUACUCCAGAAUAUGGCAAUCAUUCAUAAUUUAAUGUUAUUGACGUCUCCGUAGUGGAGUAACACAUAU
rnacentral:pre_miRNA from 1 species